AGAGAGAGACAUGCGCGCAUAUCAAUAAGCGGAGGAAAAGAAACUAACUAAGGAUUUCCCUCAGUAACGGCGAGUGAAGCGGGAAGAGCUCAAAUCUGAAAUCUUCAAGGUUCUACCUUGACGAAUUGUAGUUUAAAGAAGUGUUUUCUGUUGGAGUUUUGGUAAAAGUUCUUUGGAAUAGGACAUCAUAGAGGGUGAGAAUCCCGUAUUUGACCAUUAUUUCCAGCUUUGUGAUACACUUUCAAAGAGUCGGAUUGUUUGGGAAUGCAGUCCAAAAUGGGUGGUAAAUUUCAUCUAAAGCUAAAUAUUGGCGAGAGACCGAUAGCGAACAAGUACCGUGAGGGAAAGAUGAAAAGAACUUUGAAAAGAGAGUUAAACAGUACGUGAAAUUGUCAAAAGGGAAGCGUUUGACACCAGUGUUGUUUUCUCGAAAAUCAAUUAAAAAGAGCUAGAUUUUGUGUUGUAUUGACCUUAACAGCUUGCAUUCACUCUUUCUUGUCUUUUUUAAUGCACUUUUCGUUUAACAAGCCAACAUCAAUUUCUUUUGUUGUAAAAGGGUCAUUGGAAGGUGGCUUUCUUUUCGGAGAAAGUGUUUAUAGCCUUUGGCCUCUGCAAUCGGAGAGAUUGAGGUUUGCAGCGUAGAUCCUUCGGGGUUAGAUACAUUUGUGCUAAGUUAUAGCCUUUCAUAGACAACUUGUUGACUAUGAUCAGUCAUGUAGCUUACUCGCUUAUGCUAUUUUACCUACGCUUAGGAUGUUGAUGUGAUACUGCGAGC
rnacentral:rRNA from 1 species